GGCUGGUCUAAGUGCAGUGCUGUUUACAAGUAAUUGAUCACAAUCAGUUACAGAUUUCUUUGUUCCUUCUCCCCUUUCAUUGCUUCACUUGACUAGCCUUAA
ensembl:Y_RNA Y_RNA Y RNA